rnacentral:rRNA from 1 species
UAAUUCGGACAGCAGCAGUUUUCAGAUUCUGAAUUCUGCUGUGGAAAGUUUGGUGAACCUUAACACUUAGAGGAAGGAGAAGUCGUAACAAGGUUUCCGUAGGUGAACCUGCGGAAGGAUCAUUC